AAAUGAAUUGACGGGGGCCCGCACAAGCGGAGGAACAUGUGGUUUAAUUCGAUGAUACGCGAGGAACCUUACCCGGGCUUGAAAUGGAGAGGAAUGCGGAUGAAAGUCUGCAGCCAGCAAUGGCUUCUCCGUAGGUGCUGCAUGGUUGUCGUCAGCUCGUGCCGUGAGGUGUCGGCUUAAGUGCCAUAACGAGCGCAACCCCUGCCGGUAGUUGCCAGCGUGCAAGACGGGGACUCUGCCGGGACUGCCGCCGUAAGGUGCGAGGAAGGGGGGGAUGACGUCAAAUCAGCACGGCCCUUACGUCCGGGGCGACACACGUGUUACAAUGGGGGGUACAACGGGCAGCUACCCGGCGACGGGAUGCCAAUCUCUAAAAACCCCUCUCAGUUCGGAUUGGAGUCUGCAACCCGACUCCAUGAAGCUGGAUUCGCUAGUAAUCGCGCAUCAGCCACGGCGCGGUGAAUACGUUCCCGGGCCUUGUACACACCGCCCGU
rnacentral:rRNA from 1 species